UACAGAGGGGGCCAGCGUUAUUCGGAAUUAUUGGGCGUAAAGGGCGCGUAGGCGGCCACUGCAAGUCGGUUGUGAAAUCUCCGGGCUUAACCCGGAAAGGUCAAUCGAUACUGCAGGGCUAGAGUGCGGAAGGGGCAACUGGAAUUCUCGGUGUAGCGGUGAAAUGCGUAGAUAUCGAGAGGAACACCUGCGGCGAAGGCGGGUUGCUGGGCCGACACUGACGCUGACAGCGCGAAAGCUAGGGGAGCGAACGGG
rnacentral:rRNA from 1 species